GCAUAAUGGCCAUUGCUGCCGUGGCGGUGUGCCUGUAAGGUGGCGCGACCCAGAGCCAGGUACUAGGGCAGCCAGAAUUGGGGCUGCUUUGCCACUGGGCUGUUCCCCCUAUGUGCACUGGAGUUGCGGUGGUGGUGAUCGCUGCCCAUAGCCACUACAUGCAGGCCAGCAAAAGCAUCAUGCCAGGAAAGAAAGCGUACUCUUCCAAAAUUUUCAGAAUACCUAUGCAACUCAGACAAAACAUCUGUUGUCUAAAGCAGGAAAAGAGCCUCUGUUUGACUUUGACUGGCUGAUCUCCGAUUUCAAAUGGAUUCUGUUCCUGUUUUACUCCGUUGAGGACUUAGUUUUUUGAACUUUUCAAGGACUUCAGAUGUUACUUGGAGAUCUACUGGAUUAAAUUCCUAUUCUCUCCCAUACAUCAUUAAAGAAAGAGGCAGUUGGGAAGAUUACAGUUCAUUUUGUUACCUAGCUUAUAGAUGAUUGGGUGUUCAUAAUCUAUAACAUGUUUGGUUAUGCUAUUUCAAGUUUGUUUUCACUGUAUCUUUUAUACUUAACUAUUUUACUGCUGAUAAAAAAA